rnacentral:rRNA from 1 species
AGAGUUUGAUCCUGGCUCAGAGCGAACGCUGGCGGCGUGCUUAACACAUGCAAGUCGAACGCGCAGCAUUCUGUAGCAAUACAGGAUGUGGGCGCGUGGCGAACGGGUGCGUAACACGUGGAUAACCUUCCUUCAGGUGGGGAAUAACCCCGCGAAAGCGGGGCUAAUACCGCAUAACAUGACGAUGCCACAUGGUGUUGUCUUCAAAGCCGCAAGGCGCCAGAAGAGGGAUCCGCGGCCGAUUAGCUUGUUGGCGAGGUAAUGGCUCACCAAGGCUUUGAUCGGUAGCCGGACUGAGAGGUUGGCCGGCCACACUGGAACUGAGACACGGUCCAGACUCCUACGGGAGGCAGCAGUGGGGAAUCUUGCACAAUGGACGAAAGUCUGAUGCAGCAACGCCGCGUGGGGGAUGAAGCUUUUCGGAGUGUAAA